CCUUCGCGGCGUGUUUCAGGUGCCCUGUGAACCCAGGUUCGGCAGGGUGAAACUGGGAAGCCGGUGGGCGCCAGCAAGGUGCGAUUCCGGCGCUGCCCCCGCAACGGUAGAUGAGUCGACGGCUGCGCAAGGCCACUGGAUUUCGUGAUCCGGGAAGGCGCACGGCCCGGGCAUGGCCCCACUCAUGAGCCCGGAGACCGGCCUGUCACUGCCAACGGCA
rnacentral:ncRNA from 2 species